AGCACACGUACAUAUACCACACGCACAAUACGCCUCUCGCUUUCUUUUUUCUCUCUCCCUCUUAUCUCCUUCACCUGCCGUCGGCGCCGGAGCAGCCCACCGACCGACCGGCUCCCUUCCUCCUUUUCCCCGUCGCCCAACAAACCAACCAACUCCGGCGACCACCCGAAACAGCCACUACCUCCGCCAAACCAGCCGCAAACCACAACCCAAAAACUCACCAGCCGCCCCCUUUUCCCCUCCUUCCCGCCGCCAGAGCUCCGGCAGAUUCCGACCAUCAUUCAUCCGCCUCACCCUUCCCUUUUCUCUCUCCUCUCUCUCUUCUCCUCUUCACCAACAGUAUGACCGGCGUAGCAACAGCCAUAGUUGCCGCCGCCACACCUUUCCUUUUUCAACGGCCUUCAUCUUCUUCCUUUCCCUUGCUCCUCAUUGCCGCUGGCUCGCCGGAGUUGUGACCGGUGAGCUCCAGCCCGAAACAGCCGCCGCUGCUUUGCCGGGGUGAUGACCGGCGAACCUUCCCCCGCUUCUGUUCCACGAUAAUGGCCAAAUUUUGGUCGGAUUUAUAUCUUUUUGGCAUUGCUCCAGUGAGAUCCGUUGAAGCAAUGCCACUUUCAUCGUUGCCUUGUCUUUUUAUGUUGCUAUGUUACCCGUUCGGAGGUGAAUUUUUUGGCAAAUCUUCGUUAACAUCGGCUAUCUUUUAGCUUUUUUUUUUUUUUUUUUUUUUAAUAAUUUUUCAUAUAUAUAUGUGUGUAAUUUACUGCUCUUGUAUUUUAUUUGGACUAAUAUACGUACUCGUGCAUUGCGCGGUUGAUAUUAAUGUAUUACUAUAUAUUAGUUUAAGCUAUCGAUUUCUUGUCUAAGCUUGUAAAGUCGUAUUAAGUUGAUUUGCCAUUCAUUACCUCGCUAUCAAAAUUUACUCUUUGGAAAUACUAUAUACCACCUUGUUAGAGCAUUAUAAAAAGCUUCUUUAUUUGGUACAAUAUCCUCCUUAUAUUUAUAUUGAUUAAUUUUGCAUUUACUCCUCUUCCAACAUUGCUAAAAAUUAAUGUCUAGAAAUUUUAACUUUUCUCUUUGACCCUUUUAAUUUUUCCCCCCUCUUCUUUAUCUAACAAAAUAAAAUUUCAAAAUUCGGUUGUUUAGUCAUGUUAUGUGGCAACAUGAAAGCAAAAACAAUAAGAAAAAUACAUCUUACAAUCAGAACGUAAGUUAUAAAACAUCAAAGAGAUUCUAAUUUAUUUUAGUGUAUUUGUUUACGAUAUUGUGAUUCUAAGCUCCUGCCAAAGAGGUUGUGUUGUUCAUGAGAUCAAAUAUACUAAGUCGAAGAUACUUGAAGGUGGAAGCAAUGGUAGAUUAGGAGUGCAGACAAUUGAUGCAGCUUUAGUUGGAGUUUCUAUCAACAAAAGCUUCUUCUUACGUAUUGUAAUCUUUACUAACUUAGAAGUGCUUUUAGGUCAAUUUCCUUUAGUUGCCUAAAAAUUAAUCACUUCCCAAAGAAGUGACAUUCUAUAGGAAU
rnacentral:lncRNA from 1 species